rnacentral:rRNA from 1 species
GACGAACGCUGGCGGCGUGCUUAACACAUGCAAGUCGAACGGAAAGGCCCUGCUUUUGUGGGGUGCUCGAGUGGCGAACGGGUGAGUAACACGUGAGUAACCUGCCCUUGACUUUGGGAUAACUUCAGGAAACUGGGGCUAAUACCGGAUAGGAGCUCCUGCUGCAUGGUGGGGGUUGGAAAGUUUCGGCGGUUGGGGAUGGACUCGCGGCUUAUCAGCUUGUUGGUGGGGUAGUGGCUUACCAAGGCUUUGACGGGUAGCCGGCCUGAGAGGGUGACCGGCCACAUUGGGACUGAGUUACGGCCCAGACUCCUACGGGAGGCAGCAGUGGGGAAUAUUGCACAAUGGGCGGAAGCCUGAUGCAGCAACGCCGCGUGCGGGAUGACGGCCUUCGGGUUGUAAACCGCUUUCGCCUGUGACGAAGCGUGAGUGACGGUAAUGGGUAAAGAAGCACCGGCUAACUACGUG